CCAGGGGGGUAGGGUUAUAGGGAGUGAGGUAGCGAAUUCUCCUUCAGCUGCCGUCAUCGGUGUUCUCGCCGGUGGCGCCGUCAUCGAUGUUUGCGCCGGUGGCGCCGUCAUCGAUGUUUGCGCCGGUGGCGGAGGUUUCAUCUAUAGCCUUUUACACUGAAAUUACUGAUUUUCGAUGAUACCUAGAUGGGAGAACACAGCUAAGAAUGGUUUUUUUUGGAUCAGUUUUGGAUUAAUCUAAUGCUGUGCUUUACUUGCCUUUCCUGUUACUUCCAUACUACAAAACUAGAUUGAAGAAGAAGAUGUUAUAUUGGAGUGGAGCUUUUGAUUUAUUUGAAAAUAUUUAUUAGGUCUUUUCCAUAUUAAGAAUCCAGGAGCCAAUUGAUUGAAGACUCCUGCAAGUGCCCAUAAAAGUAUGAUGUUGCUGAAUGGAAUCAAAAGUUAAAAACUUGUUGCUCAUUUGAAGGAAUUGGUGCUAUGCCUCUCCCUAAAACGUUUUCAGAUUGUGCUGGCAGUAAGACAUGUUUCAGUUAUUUGUACGACCAGGGCAUGUGGAAGACAAGCUGUUUUCUUGUAUCACAAUGAUCAGUCUUCGGAAAUUGAUGAUAUAGUGGUUUGGAGGAUGAGGCAAAAAAAACUUAUGAAGUAACCUAGUUGAAUGUUCAAAUCAAUUGACCACUUUGAUUUGGCAAUACAACUAUAGCCAAGAGAAUGCUUCAUUAUAAGUACGUAACUUUUCACUUUAUUGUUUGAGCAUUAUGUUGAUUUCUCAAACUUAUUUUUCUUUUGACAAAUUUGAUUUUUCAUAUACUCGUGAAAUGCAACACCAUGCUCAGAAGUUAGAGAGUGAAAUGUUAUGCAUUUGUAAUUAUAUAUUUUUCUUGGCUAGAGUUGAAUUGCCAAGUCAAGUGUUUUAAUUGAUUUGAACCUUCGGGUGAGUUGCUUCAUGAUCUUCUUAUGCCUUAGCUUCAGAACUUACCACUAUAUCAUCAAUUCUCGAAGAGUGUGGCUACCUGAAUGCUCUUGCUAUCAGACAUUUUUCCUUUGGAAGGUUGAAUGAUUUGAACCUGGAAAUGAACGAGACCUGGAAAACAAUUGGUGUUGCAAAUCUCCACUAUUGAGGCUUAAUUUUUGCCAGUUCUUAAAUAUGUAUAUCUUACUUUUGUAAUGAAUUUAUGUUUGUUUAGUAUAUUUUUGUUGUUACCCCUUUGUAAUCUUUUGGAUUCAAUGAUGAAGUUGGUAUGGAAAUAUAAUUAGGGGUGGCAAAAUCUUUUGGAUUGGGUCUUGAUCCAAUUAUUGUUUUAAUCCAUUAUGAUCCCUCUAAAUUUGAUCCAACCGCUCAAUUGCCACCUCUAGAAAUAUUGUAGAUUUGCUGAAAAAGAGUGCAUUUGGUUUAAGUUGCAAA